rnacentral:rRNA from 1 species
GGGGAAUCUUGCACAAUGGGGGAAACCCUGAUGCAGCGACGCCGCGUGAGUGAUGAAGCCCUUCGGGGUGUAAAGCUCUUUCGGCAGGGACGAUAAUGACGGUACCUGCGGAAGAAGCUGCGGCUAACUACGUGCCAGCAGCCGCGGUAAUACGUAGGCAGCAAGCGUUGUUCGGAAUUACUGGGCGUAAAGAGUGUGUAGGCGGUGUCGUAAGUUUGGUGUGAAAUCUCCCGGCUUAACUGGGAGGGUGCGCCGAAGACUGCGAUGCUCGAGGAUGGGAGAGGAAAGCGGAAUUCCUGGUGUAGCGGUGAAAUGCGUAGAUAUCAGGAGGAACACCUGCGGUGUAGACGGCUUUCUGGACCACCCCUGACGCUGAGACACGAAAGCGUGGGUAGCAAACAGGA